GUCUGAAGCCUGCAGGCCCGAGAAGCUUCUUUCUCCCUUCUCUUGGCUAUUAGUCACAGCUGGUAAGGCUCACAGGAACCGAGACUGUUUGAAAACAGUUGGAUCACGAAAACGUUUGAGUCUUUCUGCUGCAAGCAACAAACUUGGCCCAGGCUGCCACAAGGAGAUGGAGUGGGAGUGGGGGUGGCGAUGGGAUGCACCAGGAACGAAGGAAGAAAGGGAAAUUGCUAACCACCUCACUUCAAAAUCUUCUCUGAGGGAGCCCGUGGCUAUUAUCCUGGUUCAAAUGUCACAGAUAGAAGAUAAUAAAAACAAGAAGAAAUAAAAUUCAAGAUCCAUUAGAACACUUCUGGAUUGUCCAUUACAGCAUGUAUUACCCAACAGAAAGAUGAUCACUAAUAGAUGACAAGCUAUUUAAUUUUAUGUUUACUUUUGGAAGGAUGCAGGUACUGUGCAGGGUUUCUACAACACAUCAGCAUUGCUUACACCAGUACUUCAAAUAUGAGUUAUUUAAUCACCCAAGUUAAAUGAAAAUAACCAAAUGAUUAAAUAAAAUCAAG
rnacentral:lncRNA from 1 species